UAGGGAACCGAAAGGGGACCGACCUUCGGGAGCCGUGACAGGUGCUGCAUGGCUGUCCUCAGCUCGUGUCGUGAGAUGUUCGGUUAAGUCCGAAAACGAGCGCAACCCUCGGGUCUAGUUACACGUGUCUAGACCGACUGCCCGGGAGAACCGGGAGGAAGGUGGGGAUGACGUCAAGUCAGCAUGGCCUUUAUAUCCAGGGCGACACACACGCUACAAUGGGCGGUACAAUGGGUCGCGAAGCCGCGAGGUGGAGCCAAUCCUAAAAAGCCGUUCGUAGUUCGGAUUGCAGGCUGCAACCCGCCUGCAUGAAGCCGGAGUUGCUAGUAACCGCGCGUCAGCUAUAGUGCGGUGAAUACGUUCUCGGGCCUUGUACACACCGCCCGUCACGUCAUGGGAGCUGGUCAUGCCUGAAGUCGGUGAGCCAACCGCAAGGAGGCAGCCGCCGAAGGCAGGGCUGGUGACUGGGACGAAGUCGUAACAAGGUAGCUGUACCGGAAGGUGCGGCUGGAUCACCUCCUUUAUG
rnacentral:rRNA from 1 species